rnacentral:rRNA from 1 species
UACGUAGGGGGCAGGCGUUGUCCGGAUUUACUGGGCGUAAAGAGCGUGUAGGCGGCCAAACAGGUCCGUUGUGAAAACUGGAGGCUCAACCUCCAGACGUCGACGGAAACCGUAUGGCUAGAGUCCGGAAGAGGAGAGUGGAAUUCCUGGUGUAGCGGUGAAAUGCGCAGAUAUCAGGAAGAACACCUAUGGCGAAGGCAGCUCUCUGGGACGGUACUGACGCUGAGACGCGAAAGCGUGGGGAGCGAACAGG